rnacentral:rRNA from 1 species
GACGAACGCUGGCGGCGUGCUUAACACAUGCAAGUCGAACGGAAAGGCCCUGCUUUUGUGGGGUGCUCGAGUGGCGAACGGGUGAGUAACACGUGAGUAACCUGCCCUUGACUUUGGGAUAACUUCAGGAAACUGGGGCUAAUACCGGAUAGGAGUUCCUGCUGCAUGGUGGGGGUUGGAAAGUUUCGGCGGUUGGGGAUGGACUCGCGGCUUAUCAGCUUGUUGGUGGGGUAGUGGCUUACCAAGGCUUUGACGGGUAGCCGGCCUGAGAGGGUGACCGGCCACAUUGGGACUGAGCUAAGGCCCAGACUACUACGGGAGGCAGAAGUGGGGAGGGUGGCACAGUGGGCGGAAGCAUGAUGCAGCACCGCCGCGUGGGGGAUGAGGGCCUUGGGGUUGUAAACCGAUUUCGCCUGUGACGAAGCGUGAGUGACGGUAAUGGGUAAAGAAGCACCGGCUAACUACGUG